rnacentral:rRNA from 1 species
GUGGGGAAUAUUGCACAAUGGGCGAAAGCCUGAUGCAGCAACGCCGCGUGAGGGACGACGGCCUUCGGGUUGUAAACCUCUUUUAGUAGGGAAGAAGCGAAAGUGACGGUACCUGCAGAAAAAGCACCGGCUAACUACGUGCCAGCAGCCGCGGUAAUACGUAGGGUGCAAGCGUUAUCCGGAAUUAUUGGGCGUAAAGAGCUCGUAGGCGGUCUGUCGCGUCUGCUGUGAAAACCGGAGGCUCAACCUCCAGCCGGCAGUGGGUACGGGGAGACUAGAGUGCGGUAGGGGAGAUUGGAAUUCCUGGUGUAGCGGUGGAAUGCGCAGAUAUCAGGAGGAACACCGAUGGCGAAGGCAGAUCUCUGGGCCGUAACUGACGCUGAGGAGCGAAAGCGUGGGGAGCGAACAGGAUUAGAAACCCGAGUAGUCC